GUUUAAUUUCUUAACAUAUUUUUACUAAUUACAUGUUUAAAUAGUAGAAAUCAUUAAUAUUAAUUGUAGGUGCGUAUUAUGAGAUGUGCAAUAGUGCACAGGCAACUAUGUGUAUCAAAUUCUGCAGACCUGGAUUUGUAACCUAACCACAUUCAAUUUGUUUAACAUGAAGGGAAUGGGGACUCCAUCUCGUGAUAUGGGAUAAGAAACUGCACCGAGAUAAACGCCCAGGGUCCGGAUGGUGGAGGGGUUAAAAAUUACACGCACGCAGAUGGAGCAAUACUUCGAGACCAAGUCUGAGGAAUUCGGAUGGACACCGUAUGCAGAAAAACAAUGAAGCUGCAAAAUAACAGUUUAUAAUUCCUCCUAUACUCUCUACAGCAGGGGUUGGCAACCUUUCAAUUACAGCAGGUCACAUUUUUUAUUUACAUCUCCGUCUAGGGCCACAAAAAUUAAUAAAGUUAUGGAAGUUAAGUGAAACUCUAUUUCUUUAACUCGCAGACAAUGGUAAUAUUUUCCACAAGUAACUUCAUAAUAAUCUCUCAAUUGGCCUUAAAGUGCUACUUUUUAGAAGAAGAAAUAAAU